rnacentral:rRNA from 1 species
AUUGAACGCUGGCGGCAGGCCUAACACAUGCAAGUCGAACGAGGGGCGGACGGGUGAGUAAUGUCGGGGAAACUGCCUGAUGGAUGGGGAUAACUACUGGAAACGGUAGCUAAUACCGCAUACCAUCCGAUGUUCCCUGGUGGGGUUAGCUUGUUGGUGGGGUAACGGCUCACCAAGGCGACGAUCCAUAGCUGGUCUGAGAGGAUGACCGGCCACACUGGAACUGAGACACGGUCCAGACUCCUACGGGAGGCAGCAGUGGGGAAUAUUGCACAAUGGGCGCAAGCCUGAUACAGCCAUGCCGCGUGUAUGAAGAAGGCCUUCGGGUUGUAAAGUACUUUCAGCGGGGAGGCGUUACCCGCAGAAGAAGCACCGGCUAACUCCGUGCCAGCAGCCGCGGUAAUAC